UUUCCAGGUUCUUAGAACAUCUG
rnacentral:siRNA from 1 species